GCUGUCUUCCUGAGCAGAGGCCAACUUAUAGCAACGCAGCGUGGAGAUGAGUCAGUCAAAAAUGGACUUAGAAAUUUAUGCCGUGUCUCCAGAGACAGCUGCGUUUAUUUCUUCAUCCAAGGACCACUGAGAUGGGGAGGUAUUUGAAGACUCCUAAUUGAAAUCCUAGGAGAAGUUUAGCAGCAGCUCCCGUAAAGAACAGGCAUCUGAGGAGCAUGAGAGAAAAGCUGGUAUUAUAUCCGGGACCAACUCCCCGCACCUCUCGGAAAAUAAUAUAUACCAGCUCUUGGUCAAGAGAAACCUGCUC